rnacentral:misc_RNA from 1 species
GAUGAAGAACGCAGCGAAAUGCGAUAAGUAAUGUGAAUUGCAGAAUUCAGUGAAUCAUCGAAUCUUUGAACGCACAUUGCGCCCGCCAGUAUUCUGGCGGGCAUGCCUAUUCGAGCGUCAUUACAACCCUCAGGCCCCCGGGCCUGGCGUUGGGGAUCGGCGGAGCCCCCCGUGGGCACACGCCGUCCCCCAAAUGCAGUGGCGGUCCCGCCGCAGCUUCCAUCGCGUAGUAGCUAACACCUCGCGACUGGAGAGCGGCGCGGCCACGCCGUAAAACACCCAACUCUUCUGAAGUUGACCUCGAAUCAGGUAGGAAUACCCGCUGAACUUAAGCAUAUCAAUAAGCGGAGGA